GAUGAACGCUGACAGAAUGCUUAACACAUGCAAGUCUUUGGCGAAGCUGUGCUUGCACAGCCUAGCCAAGGCGGACGGGUGAGUAACGCGUAAGGAACUUGCCCUGCAGUCAGGGAUAACAGACGGAAACGACUGAUAAGACCUGGUAAAGUCAGGCGGACUCAUGUCCAGCCUGAUGAAAAGAGAUGCUGCAGGAGAGCCUUGCGUCCUAUUAGCUUGUUGGUGGGGUAACGGCCCACCAAGGCGAUGAUAGGUAGCCGGCCUGAGCGGGUGGACGGCCACCAGGGGACUGAGAUACGGCCCUUACUCCUACGGGAGGCAGCAGUGGGGAAUAUUGGACCAUGGGGGCAACCCUGAUCCAGCAAUUCUGUGUGCACGAUGAAGGUUUUCGGAUUGUAAAGUGCUUUCAGCAGGGAAGAAAAAAAUGACGGUACCUGCAGAAGAAGCGACGGCUAAAUACGUG
rnacentral:rRNA from 1 species